rnacentral:lncRNA from 10 species
CCAGUCUACGGUAUUCUGUUACAGCAGCUUGAACUGAGUAGAAGAGUGUUUAUCAUACCAAUCACCAGUUUAUCACCGGCUUCCUAAGGAACCUUUACUAAAAUGGACUGUGAGUGUAGCUAACUUAGGGGCAAUAUCUUUGAUUUUAAAUGCUGCAGAGUGGAAAAACAUGUUUGAGUUGAUGCAGAACCCACAGCUCACUAUUGAACAAUCGUGGACCGGACUGACUCUGGAACCUGGGGAGGAGCUGCUGGCUCCUACCGUGCCUGAUAAACAGCUCUCACCUGACUGACAAAGGGUUGCUUGGUUUGUGGAUGGCAGUUCCAAGGUGAAUGGACAACAUCCUGUUCAGAAGGCUGCUACUCUGAUUGUAAAGUGUACUUUUGUGAACAGAAUUUACCUUUCUCUCUAAUUGAGUUCUCCAAAAUGUGGAAAUUACUUGUGAGUAUUCUUAUUUUAUGGCAAUAUAGUUAUUUGCAUAAAUUCAGUAAGAAUGUGUUUUCUUUUGAAACAGGUCACAAUUGGAGAUGCUGGUUAUUUUACCAAGGCUUUGACCAGAACAACAUAUUUUCAGGCAAAUUUCCAGCAAAACUAACUUUAAAAAGAGCCUACAUGGCCAAUGACUAUUCGUGUGGCACAUUAUGCAAAUAAUGAGGCCUAAUAUAAUAAGCCUAAAACUUAUUUUGUAUAUAAAUUGGUCUUAUUAUUAUUUCUCCUUGGUUGAGAAAGAUUAUAGGAAGAGAGAAUAGUGUUUCAAAGGAAAACUGUAACACACCUGAUGCUAGAUUCCAGCCGAACCUUUGUUUUUGGGUUCUUACUAUUUGCUACAAUAAGUCUUCAAAGCUGAAACAGGUUAAGAUUUUCAUGACUUAGCUACCUAAUAAAAUAGGUUCCAUUUUCUAUUCUGGCACACACAUUCUCUUCUAGUGUUCAAAUUAUUAAUGUUACUUAAUCUCUUGUUUUACUUCUUCCAGAUAAACUGGAAUCAUGAUAUCCUGAAGACUAAAGAUGAUUCACCUAAGGCCUGUAUAGCUCCCUAAUUUGAAAUCCCACUGGACCCUAUCUGCUUUUCAUUGCCAAUGCUGUGCUGCUAAAACUAUCCAAGCAUGCUCCCAGAGACUAUCACCAAAGGGGUGGGCUUGGGAUUGUAAGGGCCAGUUUCUGGCUUCUGACCAGAGGCUGCACUUCCCAGCCUGUCAGAGUGACCACCCUGCAGGCUGCAACGUGCAUGAGAAAUAGAGCUCUCUUUUCCAAAUUUAUGACCCCUGUCGUUCUUCAGCUGACACUACAAAUAUAUGCAAACAACAACAACAACAACAACAACCCUGCUUCAAUUGUGAAAAAGUAACAUAUGAGGCAUCUUAGGUCGUCUGUACUUAACUUUUCUUGAAGUUCAUGUUGCUUGCUAAGCAUAGUGUAUUAACCCAUUCUUCUGUUGCUAUGAAGGACUACCUGAGACUGGGUAAUUUAUAAAGAAAAGAGGUUUAAUUGGCUCAUGGUUCCACAAGCUGUACAGGAAGCAUGGCUGGUGAGGCCUCAGGAAACUUACAAUCAUGGAAAAAGGGUAAGAGAAAGGAGGUAUGUCUUACAUGGCUUCAGAAUGAGGAAGGGAGUGAAGGGGGAGGUUCCACCCACUUUUAAACAACCAGAUCUCGUGAGAAGUCACUCGGUAUCAUGAGAACAGCAAGGGAGAAAUCUGCCCCCAUGAUCCAUUCACCUCCCACCAGGCCGUUCCUCCAACAUCUAGACCAUUUCACAUAGUGAGUUAGAGCCACAAAGAACAGUUUAAUAAAUUUAGAGAAAAACACCUUUUUUAAGACCCCUCUGAGUUGCUAGAUCACAUCAUAUACAGGCAAGGUGAAAUAAAACAACUAUAAUAAAUAUAUAGUGCAUUAAUAUAGUCUUUAAAGAUCAGAGACCUUAAAGUGUUUUUUCUAAUAUGUGAUCUUAUUUUUACCAACAGCAAUAGCAAUUUUAAUUAAUAUUAUUUCCAAAAACUUGAAUAUGUGUAAUUUCAAUUCUAACAAAUUAAGUAGUUUUCUUCAAGAGUGUUCAAGAGUGUACAGUUAAAGAAAAUAAGCUUUGUGCUCUUUUUUCACUGGCCAUACAAAUCAUAGACAUUCCAGACUCCUACCUUCUACAAGCGUCUUCCCUCUGCUGCUUUUAUUCUUCCUUAUCCUCCUCAGGACCCUUUUGUUCUCAUCUUCACUGUCCUUUCUUCCCUUUUAGGAGAAUAGGGGUAGUUGAGGAUUUGUUUUCUUUUUCAGAAAUUUAUCUGUUACUCAUUGACAGAAAUUCAGAAUCACAAAGCACUAAGAGAUCAGUAAUAUGAUAGCUGCUAUUAAGUUGCCUUUAAAAUGAGAGAUAUGAAUGAAGGAGACUUUUAAGAUGUUAGACUGGUGCUUUUUGAUCAUUAAUGAACAUACAAAUCUCCUGGAGAUUUUGUUAAAAUGCAGAGUUUGGAAGUGGAAUCUGGUAUUUUGCAUUUCUACCAAGCUGCCAGUGAUAGGGACCACACUUUGAGUAGCAGAGUAGGGCUGAGGGCUGUUUCUUUAGGAAUGCACUCCUUCCUUGAAGAAAGUUGGCCUUCCUUUCUGUUCUUCCUUUUCUCUUUAGGAAUGCACCCUUUCCUUGAAGUUUCUGAAAAACACUGAAGAUUUUAAUUGAUUUUCAUUAUUUUUUCUUGCUGCUUUAUUUCUCUGCAUUUACUCCAGGCAAGAUUUAUACAGCAUUUGUGAAAUCUACAGUUUCUCUUAGGCAUGAAUGUUGUACUAGGGCAUGUGUCAUGGUAUAUUAGUGAUAAUGAGAAGAUAAAACAACAUUACUGCAAUUCUCUCAACAAGAUAAUUAUGUUUCCUUUUUUAAAACCAAUAACCCCAAAAGCUAUUUUCUAAACAGCUACUCUGUUCCAGGUACCAUAUAUGGUCCUGGGGAUCCAAAGCUGAAAAUUACAGAAUUCCUGCUAAUAAAUUAAGAUCUAAAAUCUGUUGUGAUAAGUGUUGUAAGAUACUGUAGUAGGGUAUGUAUAAAUCACAGGGGAGAACAGAGGCAUAAUUUAAUUUGCAUAUGGGGAAGAGUGAAAGGCCAUAGACAGGAGGUAAAUUUUUAGCUGGAGCUUAAAUGGAAUGGUAAGGUUUUGCCUAUCAGAAAAAGGAGAGAGAAUAUUCUUUGCAGAGAAAACUGCAUGUUCAAAGGUGUGGAGGCAUUUGCUCUUGGGUAGCAGUUUUUGAGGUAGGUGUUAUGCUUACCAUUGACAAGUUCUUUACAGGAGAAAUAAAUAGAGUUACUGUGAGAAAUACUAUUAUGUUAUUCACAGUGACUAAUACUUGAAAUAAGAAGCAGGUAAUUUUGAAAAAAGAUAAACAGUACUCGAAAGCGUAAGUGGACAUUAAAUGUUUUAUAAUUACUCUCCACACUACCUUUUUAAAGAAAGCUUUUGUGAAAGAAAGAAAAAGGGAAAGAAUAUGUUUUCAUCACUUGUUAAAGAGGUUUCCAUGGAAAAGCUGAAUCUCAGUUUAGGGCUUACUGAUGGUGAAAUUACUAGAGUGUGCUUCAGAAACAUAUCCUAAUUUCUGAAGAUUAGUGUCCCUGUGGAAUUAGAGCCAAUUUCUUAUGACUACGUAUUUUUUUAGGAUAUCUCCACAUGCAGAGGGAAGCCUUCUAAGAGGCAUACUUUAUAUAGUCUGGGUUUUUUUCAGUUGUUUUUUGCUUUUUUUAUCAGCCACUUUGGCUAAUAGACACUUACUAGGGGAAGACUAAAAGCAAAACAGUACAGAAUAAGCUUCAAAUAUAGUGAGCAUUAAAUUGAUGUGUUCAUUACAUAUUUAUAUUGCACUUUUUGAACUGAACGCCUUUCUAGGCUUUUUAAAUAAAAUGAUGAAAAGAUAAAAUCCCUGACCCCAAAAAGCUCUAUUCUAGUGUAAGCACAACUAAGCAAUAGGGGUUUCUAUUUGAUCAGUGGUUCUCAAAGUGAGUCCACAGAGCCUUGGGGGUCCCUGAAACCCUUUCAGAGGCACCAUGAGGUCAAAAUACUGUUCAUAAUUACACUGAGAUGUUAUCUGCUUCUUUUCACUAUGUUGACAUUUGCAUAGAUGAUUCAGAAGCCAUGGUGUGUGAAACUGCUGGUGCUUUAGCAGGAAUAUCAUCUGUGACACCAAAUUGUUCUGUACCUUUGAUUAUUGUAUUCUUACUGCCACACACUUGGAGGAGAAAGGAGAGAGAGAGAGAGAGAGAUACAGAGAGAGAGAGAGAGAAAGAAAGAGAGAGAAAGAAAGAGAGAGAAAGAGAGAGAAAUUUCUCUUAAGAAUGUCCUGGAUACCUAUGUAAUAAACCUGCACAUCCUGCACACAUACCCCAGAACUUAAAAUAAAAUAAAAUGUAAAAAUAACUAGUUUUAUUAAAUCCUGACCUGUAAUCCCAGUGCUUUGGGAGGCUAAGACAAGAGGAUUGUUUAAUGCCAGUAGUUUAAGUCUAGCCUGGGCAAUAUAGUGAGAUCCUGUCUCUACAAAAAUUUUAAAAAUUAGCCAGCCAUAGUGGCCCGCACCACACCUAUACUCUCAGCUACUCAGGAGGCUAAGGUGGGAGUUUUGUUUGAGCCCAGGAGUUCUAAGUUACAGUGAACUAUGAUUGUGCUACUGCAUUCCAGCCUGGGCAAUAAAGUGAGAUCCUGCUUCUUUUUUUUUUUUUUAAUUUAUUUAUUUAUUAUUAUUAUACUUUAAGUUUUAG